GACGAACGCUGGCGGCGUGCUUAACACAUGCAAGUCGAACGGUGAAGCGCCUUCCUUUUUGGUGGGUGUGGAUGAGUGGCGAACGGGUGAGUAACACGUGAUUAACCUGCCCCCUUCUUCUGGAUAACCGCAUGAAAGUGUGGCUAAUACGGGAUAUUCUGGGUCUGUCGCAUGAUGGGUCUGGGAAAGAUAUUGUUUCGGUGGGGGAUGGGCUCGCGGCCUAUCAGCUUGUUGGUGGGGUGAUGGCCUACCAAGGCGGUGACGGGUAGCCGGCCUGAGAGGGUGGACGGUCACACUGGGACUGAGACACGGCCCAGACUCCUACGGGAGGCAGCAGUGGGGAAUAUUGCACAAUGGGCGCAAGCCUGAUGCAGCGACGCCGCGUGAGGGAUGGAGGCCUUCGGGUUGUGAACCUCUUUCGCCAGUGAAGCAGGCCUGCCUCGUUUGGGGGUGGGUUGACGGUGGCUGGAUAAGAAGCGCCGGCUAACUACGUGC
rnacentral:rRNA from 1 species